AUUAUCUUAGUGAGCAAUUCAACCCACAGUGAUCGUGACCCUGUGACCCGGGAUCCACUGAGAGAUGGGAAUCAACUGUGUGUGGGAGCAAACUUGAAACCGUCAGCACUGUUACUAAAAGAAAGGUCGAAGAAACCAACCUGAGGAGGUAGAGUGGUGCACUCUCCCCGGAACGGAUGGACAGACGGACCGAGAGGGAGCGAGUAGCAGCCUCUCCUGGCUCGGGGCAUGCAGUUGUUCUGUCAGCCAGGGCGGAUCCUUUCAAGUACUCCCUACCCUGGCCUGCACAUCCCCGUGGAGCUUCAGCUGCUGUACAAAGAAAGAGAGAAACCUUAAUAAACAGAGAUAUUUUGCAACCUGCCUGGAAGAGGGACGGGCCCAAAUCAAGACAUGUUACACAACAGAGAAGAGAUUAAGCAUAUCGGUGCAACCUUAACUUCAGUGUGAAACCUGUGAGCUGCGGCCUGGCAUGACUUUG